rnacentral:tRNA from 1 species
AAGGGUGUAGCUCAGUGGGAGAGCACAUGCCUGCCGUGCACAAGGUCCUGGGUUCAAUCCCCAGUGCCUCCU